rnacentral:lncRNA from 1 species
CUUGUAUAGCUACAUAUGAAAGUGAUCUACUCUGGCCAUCAGGUGUUGCCUUGUAUAGCUACAUAUGAAAGUGAUCUACUCUGGCCAUCAGGUGUUGCCUUGUAUAGCUACAUAUGAAAGUGAUCUACUCUGGCCAUCAGGUGUUGACUUGUAUAGCUACAUAUGAAAGGGAUCUACUCUGGCCAUCAGGUGUUGACUUGUAUAGCUACAUAUGAAAGGGAUCUACUCUGGUCAUCAGGUGUUGACUUGUAUAGCUACAUAUGAAAGUGAUCUACUCUGGCCAUCAGGUGUUGACUUGUAUAGCUACAUAUGAAAGUGAUCUACUCUGGUCAUCAGGUGUUGACUUGUAUAGCUACAUAUGAAAGUGAUCUACUCUGGCCAUCAGGUGUUGACUUGUAUAGCUACAUAUGAAAGUGAUCUACUCUGGUCAUCAGGUGUUGACUUGUAUAGCUACAUAUGAAAGUGAUCUACUCUGGUCAUCAGGUGUGGACUUGUAUAGCUACAUAUGAAAGGGAUCUACUCUGGCCAUCAGGUGUUGACUUGUAUAGCUACAUAUGAAAGUGAUCUACUCUGGCCAUCAGGUGUGGACUUGUAUAGCUACAUAUGAAAGUGAUCUACUCUGGUCAUCAGGUGUUGGCUUGUAUAGCUACAUAUGAAAGUGAUCUACUCUGGCCAUCAGGUAUCUGAUGAGAGAUGUUGUGACUAAAUAUCUGUUCAUCAUUCACAGCCCAAUGAACAAACUCCACU